rnacentral:lncRNA from 1 species
ACGACCCUCCCAAGAUGCUACCUGGUUUACGAGAGGUUCCGGGACCACCAACACACCGGCUACCGCCUUUCCAGACCACCCUCGCCAGCUCCCGUCUGUAGUUUCCGCGGCCGAAGGAGAAGAAAACCCCUCUUCAUCUAGCACUUUGCCUCCCCCAAAGACAGCACCGCCGCCUACCUGUCACCCUGCUGUCUCCGGCUUCCUACCGCCGCCGCCUCCCGCAGCAGCCUGCCAACUGCAGCGCAACAACCAACCCUCUCAUUGGACAUGGCCCAUGAACAUGGACAUGAGCAUGGACAUCAUAAAAUGGAACUUCCAGAUUAUAGACAAUGGAAGAUAGAAGGGACACCAUUAGAAACUAUCCAGAAGAAGCUGGCUGCAAAAGGGCUAAGGGAUCCAUGGGGCCGCAAUGAAGCUUGGAGAUACAUGGGUGGCUUUGCAAAGAGUGUUUCCUUUUCUGAU